rnacentral:rRNA from 1 species
AGCUAAUACCGUAUGAUGACGUAAGUCCAAAGAUUUAUCGCCCUGGGAUGAGCCCGCGUAGGAUUAGCUAGUUGGUGGGGUAAAGGCCUACCAAGGCGACGAUCCUUAGCUGGUCUGAGAGGAUGAUCAGCCACACUGGGACUGAGACACGGCCCAGACUCCUACGGGAGGCAGCAGUGGGGAAUAUUGGACAAUGGGCGCAAGCCUGAUCCAGCAAUGCCGCGUGAGUGAUGAAGGCCUUAGGGUUGUAAAGCUCUUUUACCCGGGAAGAUAAUGACUGUACCGGGAGAAUAAGCCCCGGCUAACUCCGUGCCAGCAGCCGCGGUAAUACGGAGGGGGCUAGCGUUGUUCGGAAUUACUGGGCGUAAAGCGCACGUAGGCGGCUUGGUAAGUUAGAGGUGAAAGCCCAGGGCUCAACCCUGGAAUUGCCUUUAAGACUGCCGAGCUAGUAGGUGAGAGAGGUGAGUGGAAUUCCGAGUGUAGAGGUGAAAUUCGUAGAUAUUCGGAAGAACACCAGUGGCGAAGGCGGCUCACUGGCU